UUUGCUAUUUACUACUUCUUGUGUAUUAAAAAAUAUAAAUUUCCAGAAGAAAUUAAGUCAAUAUUUAUUCUCUCUUCCAGAGCACUGCAGGGAAAAGAAUUCAGUAAGAAGAUGAGAAGGGCUUUUGUGUAUCGCAGACACUGAGUGCAUGCAGGAGUGGAGCUGCCAGCAACUGAGAGCCAUAAAUACUGCUGCUCAUUUCCUAACCAUGUUAAGGGUGCAAACUAUAACGUGGCCUUGUUUUAUACCAGACCCCAUGAAUGUAAACCUGGAUUGUAUUAAUACACAGCGUUAUCUCAGUUGUGUGCCCAUCAAACGUCACAUCGCUGCAGCAGGGCCCGGGUCCCAGUGCGAGGGACAGCCCAUUGUUUGGAUAUUUAAACACCGGCCCAGAUAGACCAAUAAAGCAGGGUGUCGGGACCACAUGCGAGGAUCGGGCCGAUUCCACGCCCUCUUCCACAGUGUUUAUUCCUUUCUCCAUGGAGCUGUAGCUCCUCAGGGUCUUAGCUGCAUCUGAACAAAAGACUGAAGUAGAUUGAAAGCACUUGUCUGGCUUUGCACUGAGUGAAUGUACGCAUCAAACAAGAAUAAGUCAUCCGCAAGCUGCAUCCGACGCAGCUGAGCAGAGAAUAGCACCAAAGACCCAUGACUGCAGGAGACAAUCCUCCUUUUUAGUGACACUGGAAUCGCUGCUACUGUGCAAUCGAGAAUCUCUAGAGGAGUAGGCCUUUGAGUCCUCAGCUUUGCUUGUUUUGGCGGCCGGGUCGAGGUCGAAGGCACUCAGCAGAGGAUGGCGCUCGGGAGGCCGUAUCAGAGGGGCUGGUCAGAGGCUCGAAGUUUUCGGACGGACUCAGUCGGCUGUGGUCGGGUGCUUCCAAUGCAUCGGCAGUUGUCGGUGCCUGGAGAUUUAUGGCAGGGGAGUUUCUCCCUUUUUGCCGCCUGCUAUUGGGGAUUAUAUGAGUCGAUCGGGACUUGAGACUUUUUUUUUACAGUGCCCAUGGUCUGUUCUUUUUCAAAUUAUGGUAUUGUUUUGCACUGCUAUAACUAUAUGUUAUAAUUAUGUGGUUUUGUCAGUGUUAGUCUUUGGUUUGUCCUGUUUUUGUGUGAUAUCACUCUGGAGGAACAUUGUAUCAUUUCUUAAUGCAUGCAUGCAUUUCUAAAUGACAAUAAACAAGGA